GACGAACGCUGGCGGCGUGCUUAACACAUGCAAGUCGAACGGAAAGGCCCUGCUUUUGUGGGGUGCUCGAGUGGCGAACGGGUGAGUAACACGUGAGUAACCUGCCCUUGACUUUGGGAUAACUUCAGGAAACUGGGGCUAAUACCGGAUAGGAGCUCCUGCUGCAUGGUGGGGGUUGGAAAGUUUCGGCGGUUGGGGAUGGACUCGCGGCUUAUCAGCUUGUUGGUGGGGUAGUGGCUUACCAAGGCUUUGACGGGUAGCCGGCCUGAGAGGGUGACCGGCCACAUUGGGACUGAGAUACGGCCCAGACUCCUACGGGAGGCAGCAGUGGGGAAUAUUGCACAAUGGGCGGAAGCCUGGUGCAGCAACGCCGCGUGCGGGAUGACGGCCUUCGGGUUGUAAACCGCUUUCGCCUGUGACGAAGCGUGAGUGACGGUAAUGGGUAAAGAAGCACCGGCUAACUACGUGCCAGCAGCCGCGGUGAUACGUAGGGUGCGAGCGUUGUCCGGAUUUAUUGGGCGUAAAGGGCUCGUAGGUGGUUGAUCGCGUCGGAAGUGUAAUCUUGGGGCUUAACCCUGAGCGUGCUUUCGAUACGGGUUGACUUGAGGAAGGUAGGGGAGAAUGGAAUUCCUGGUGGAGCGGUGGAAUGCGCAGAUAUCAGGAGGAACGCCAGUGGCGAAGGCGGUUCUCUGGGCCUUUCCUGACGCUGAGGAGCGAAAGCGUGGGGAGCGAACAGGCUUAGAUACCCUGGUAGUCCACGCUGUAAACGGUGGGUACUAGGUGUGGGGUCCAUUCCACGGGUUCCGUGCCGUAGCUAACGCUUUAAGUACCCCGCCUGGGGAGUACGGCCGCAAGGCUAAAACUCAAAGGAAUUGACGGGGCCCCGCACAAGCGGCGGAGCAUGCGGAUUAAUUCGAUGCAACGCGUAGAACCUUACCUGGGUUUGACAUGGAUCGGGAGUGCUCAGAGAUGGGUGUGCCUCUUUUGGGGUCGGUUCACAGGUGGUGCAUGGCUGUCGUCAGCUCGUGUCGUGAGAUGUUGGGUUAAGUCCCGCAACGAGCGCAACCCUUGUUCACUGUUGCCAGCACGUUAUGGUGGGGACUCAGUGGAGACCGCCGGGGUCAACUCGGAGGAAGGUGGGGAUGACGUCAAGUCAUCAUGCCCCUUAUGUCCAGGGCUUCACGCAUGCUACAAUGGCUGGUACAGAGAGUGGCGAGCCUGUGAGGGUGAGCGAAUCUCGGAAAGCCGGUCUCAGUUCGGAUUGGGGUCUGCAACUCGACCUCAUGAAGUCGGAGUCGCUAGUAAUCGCAGAACAGCAACGCUGCGGUGAAUACGUUCCCGGG
rnacentral:rRNA from 1 species